UACGUAGGGUGCAAGCGUUAUUCGGAAUUACUGGGCGUAAAGCGUGCGCAGGCGGUUUGGUAAGUCCGGUGUGAAAUCCCCGGGCUUAACCUGGGAACUGCAUUGGUGACUGGCAGGCUUUGAGUGUGGCAGAGGGAGGUAGAAUUCCACGUGUAGCAGUGAAAUGCGUAGAGAUGGGGAGGAAUACCGAUGGCGAAGGCAGCCUCCUGGGCCAACACUGACGCUCAUGCACGAAAGCGUGGGGAGCAAACAGG
rnacentral:rRNA from 1 species